rnacentral:rRNA from 1 species
GUAGGGAAUAUUGGGCAAUGGAUGCAAGUCUGACCCAGCCAUCCCGCGUGCCGGAAGAAGGCCCUCAGGGUUGUAAGCGGCUUUUGACGGUGAAGAAUCGACAGGAUGCGUCCUGUUUUGACGGUAGCCGUUGAAUAAGCACCGGCUAACUCCGUGCCAGCAGCCGCGGUAAUACGGAGGGUGCGAGCGUUGUCCGGAUUUAUUGGGUUUAAAGGGUGCGUAGGCUGGAAGGUCAGUCAGCGGUGAAAAGCUGUCGCUUAACGAUAGUCUUGCCGCAGAUACUUCCUUUCUUGGAUGAGGAGGAGGCCACUGGAACGGAUGGUGUAGCGGUGAAAUGCAUAGAUAUCAUCCAGAACACCGAUUGCGAAGGCAGGUGGCUGUACCUUAAUCGACGCUGAUGCACGAAAGCAUGGGGAGCAAACAGGAUUAGAAACCCCUGUAGUCC